ACCAGGAUGGCUGAGUGGUUAAGGCGUUGGACUUAAGAUCCAACGCCUUCGCCCUCGUGGGUUCGAACCCCACUCUUGGUA
rnacentral:tRNA from 1 species